GGAGAGGUGUCUGAGUGGUUGAAAGUACCGCUCUCGAAAAGCGGCAGACCGCAAGGUCUCGGGAGUUCGAAUCUCCCCCUCUCCG
rnacentral:tRNA from 1 species